UCGGCUGGCUCUCGUGGUCGCUGGCUGGAAAGGAAAACAAUGUCGGAAGCUCAGCGGGAUGGGGCACGGAAGCAAGAGGUGGCCCUGCACGACAGGACAGGCCACCCCCAGGGCCAGAUUGAGGUUUGAUGAGGCCCUAAGCUACUGAAGGAAAGAUUUCUCUGGCGAUUUGCAGCCUCCCCAGCUGCCUGCACUUACUGAUCUGGUUUAAUUGAUGGCUGGGCACCCAGGGAGGCUGCAGAGCACAGACCACCAGCGAGAUGAGUUGCAGAAUGAAAAGGGAUGCUCACAACAAACACCCCUUGGCCAUCAAAAGGAAGGCAAGACACAGACCCUGCACCUGUGAGGAUUUCAGCAAAAAUUUGAAACUUAGCAUCCUUAACAAACUACAGCCCCCAGGAUUCGGGGGGGGGGGGAGCUCGACUUUUAAUAUGGUAUAUGAUGCAGAUGUGACCUCAGAGCCUCACAACAUGCAGAGGGCUGCAAAUUCCACAUGUCAAGCCCUUAACAGCUUGGGACCAAUUUGAUUACAAGAUCUGCCCAUUCGACCAACUGAUCAGUGAAAUUGGCACAGUUAAAGGUGCCACAUAAUACCCAUUCGACAUUUGUAAGAACUCGAUAUUUUAGUGUGGCAGCACCUCCACUUUGGAACUCCCUGCCUAUUGAUAGCAACCAGGUGCCUUCAAGUGUAAUCUCCAAUUCUUGCACAGACAAGUCUAUUCGGAUGCUUAGAAAGCGGAUGGGAGUUCUGACUACUUUCUAGUCCAUUGCUACGUUAAUUUUACAAAAGCUUUAAAUUAUUGUUGAUUUCAUGGUAUUAUCUUUCCGGUAAACCCCUUUGAAGGUUUUUUUAAAUAAUAAACAACAGCAAUCAA